CACCUCCCAUCCGUGUCUAUUGUACCCUGUUGCUUCGGCGGGCCCGCCGCUUGUCGGCCGCCGGGGGGGCGCCUCUGCCCCCCGGGCCCGUGCCCGCCGGAGACCCCAACACGAACACUGUCUGAAAGCGUGCAGUCUGAGUUGAUUGAAUGCAAUCAGUUAAAACUUUCAACAAUGGAUCUCUUGGUUCCGGCAUCGAUGAAGAACGCAGCGAAAUGCGAUAACUAAUGUGAAUUGCAGAAUUCAGUGAAUCAUCGAGUCUUUGAACGCACAUUGCGCCCCCUGGUAUUCCGGGGGGCAUGCCUGUCCGAGCGUCAUUGCUGCCCUCAAGCCCGGCUUGUGUGUUGGGUCGCCGUCCCCCUCUCCGGGGGGACGGGCCCGAAAGGCAGCGGCGGCACCGCGUCCGAUCCUCGAGCGUAUGGGGCUUUGUCACAUGCUCUGUAGGAUUGGCCGGCGCCUGCCGACGUUUUCCAACCAUUCUUUCCAGGUUGACCUCGGAUCAGGUAGGGAUACCCGCUGAACUUAAGCAUAUCAAUAAGCCGGAGGA
rnacentral:rRNA from 1 species